rnacentral:rRNA from 1 species
CACGUAGGGUGCGAGCGUUGUCCGGAAUUAUUGGGCGUAAAGAGCUCGUAGGCGGUGUGUCGCGUCGGCCGUGAAAACUUGCAGCUUAACUGUGGGCGUGCGGUCGAUACGGGCAUCACUGGAGUUCGGCAGGGGGGACUGGAAUUCCUGGUGUAGCGGUGAAAUGCGCAGAUAUCAGGAGGAACACCGGUGGCGAAGGCGGGUCUCUGGGCCGAUACUGACGCUGAGGAGCGAAAGCGUGGGGAGCGAACAGG